rnacentral:rRNA from 1 species
UACGGGGGGGGCAAGCGUUGUUCGGAAUUACUGGGCGUAAAGGGCUCGUAGGCGGCCAACUAAGUCGGAUGUGAAAUCCCCAGGCUCAACUUGGGAACUGCAUCCGAUACUGGAUGGCUUGAAUUCGGGAGAGGGAUGCAGAAUUCCAGGUGUAGCGGUGAAAUGCGUAGAUAUCUGGAGGAAUACCGGUGGCGAAGGCGGCAUCCUGGACCAACACUGACGCUGAUGAGCGAAAGCCAGGGGAGCAAACGGG